GCAGGAUGAAAAGGAAUAUGAGGAAGUAUGUGUGCCUGCUCCUGAAUGGAGUUGGGAUCUGGUAGCCAAGGAUGUGGAAAAAGUCAAGGUACCCAGUCCCUUCUUCACCUUGCUUCUUACUGCCUGUUCACCUCUCUGGCUGACCAGUGCACAAGUCCAUUACUGGAAAUUAUAUGCACAUAGGCAAUGUGGAUCUCUUCAGCGGCCUUAUAUACUCAGUCC